UAAAUAAAAAUAUAAUAAUUGUUUCCAGGUAACAAGAAACUAUUGUCCUGCAAUGAGAGUCAACUAAAGAAACGGUUAAUAUGCGUCCGACAUUUCAAAAAGGAUAGCGUGCACAAGGGAGCGACAAGAACUAGGCUGAUUGGUCACGCAGUGCCGUUUCCUUAUGUCGAAGAAGACGCCAAUCUUGAUCCCAUUGUGGAAACAAAACCAAAUCCUGCAUUGCUCUCCGUAGAAAUAGGUAAUUUAGAAAUACCUGUUCUGGAGAAUCAGAAGGUCAAAAAAGAACCAUACAAUUGUGAACCCCAACUUCAGCCACACACAGCUUUACUGGACUGUAAUGAAACAUUAAAAGUUACGCCUCCAAAAAAAUGUUACGAGUCCAAAAAGAAACGUAUCCAAUUACGCGAAUGCAUAAAGGAAGAUGUUCCACGUUUUAAAUUUGAGGGGGCAAACGAGCAUGCGGCCCACCUAGUGCUAAGUGAC
rnacentral:lncRNA from 1 species